GUCACACAUUACGUCUCAGGGACAGGGGUUGCAGCGUGCGUGCUUCCUCUCAAGUUCACUCACACUGUGAAAAGUGAAAGACGGAUCUUAUUUUGUGACUGAGGAACUUGAUCUUGUCUUCUUAUAGUCGUCUGAGCCGGAACAGUUUAAUUUCUGGACAUUCCUUGAAAUUAAACUUGAAUAUAAUCUUGAAUAUAAUCCAUCGAAGAGCUGAGGACUGGACGACCAGAGAUUGUUAUCAGAGCUGUUAUAGUAAAAUCACACUUACUUUGGCUGGUGUGUUACUGGAGUCUGUUACAGACAAACAACACUGAGGGCCUGGCUGUGGAAUCUCAAACAGGCCCUCAGCACAAAGAUCAAGUCCAGACGAGUCCAUGUCUCGGAUGCCCAAUCAGACGAAUUCAUCAGGGGAAGAGAGGCCUGAGGAGGUCCCACUGCAGCCUGUUGGGGGUACAGGUGAAAAUGGGGAUGCCCCCUGUGGCGUCAACACUCAAAAGUUCUCCGUCAGCAGAUGUCUGGAUUCCCUUAGCCAGCGCAUCACUUCCCGAUGGCCCUGCUGCAAGGACACAGACCACAGGAGACUGGCCAUCUGCAGUGUUAUUUGUGGACUGUCUUGUGUUGGGGCCACAGCUUUGAUCUAUUCUGUCAAGGCACGGGAGAAGAGGAGAGGUAACCCAGAUGACCCAGAGUGCCAGAUCUACUCAGACAAGGCCAGGAGUCGGGCUAUAUGGUCCAUUUUGUGCUGCCUGGCUCUUCCUUUCCUCAUCGCAGCUCUGGUGAUUUUUGCAUCGUACCUCCUCACUCUCGUAGACUGAGGCAGAAUUUGGGCUUUUGUUCCUCGUCUAGACACAAGAGGCAUAAACAAUGCUCUGCUGACAUACAUCGAGUCUACUCAGAGGAAGCCCACUGGCCAGCAUUUAAGGACAUGACUGAAACGACUAUUGAAUGAGAGCAUUAGUUACAAUUGGACCCGAGCUCCUCACUGACCACCAGGUCUUCGAGGAGAUGAAGAAAUGAGAGGUCAAGUUCUGUUUUAUUUCCCUGUCCAUUGGUGAGGCCUAAGGCUUGUUAUCUGACGUGGUGCUUUAAAAUCAAGCUAAAGAAGGCAGAUGAGAUAAAAAAAAAUAAAUAAAAAAAAACAACGGACAAAGGAAACAGAGCAGCAUUUCAGAUAAAUACUUUUAUUGGACAAACAGCGCAUGUUAAGAUACAAUUGCUCCGCUGGACGGACUUGAGCUCAGAGUGCCACACUUUCCAAUCGACUCACUUGGAACAGAUUCAUUCCUCCAAUUUUGGCACCAUGGAGACUAUUCCUAUGGACUGUGGAUGACCUGUUAUAAAACUAUAAUAACUAAAUGGGUAACCAUCCAUUUUACUGUUACAAACAUAGGAAUGCCCAACAGGGAGAAGCCCAACCACUCGGCCAAAGGGGAUGUUAAUACACAGACUCCUUUGGGACCUUCCAGCUCCAUUGUGUGAUGUACAGUAGGCAUACUUAGACACAAAAAUACAAAAUCAUAUAAAUGUUUUGAAUUUUGCAUGGUUAGUUCUCAUGAGACAUUCCGGUCAGUCCACAUACUGUCCAAGACUGUUUUUUUUUUUAGCUUUAAUUCACACUGUUAAACAAUAAUCUGUUCAGUUACAUUACCGUGUGAAUAUAAAAAUGUAUUUUUGUGCUUUAAAAACAUUCUUUUAUAUAUGUAAUUUGUACAUUGCAUGUUUUCAGUACUUCUCCAAUAAAAAGAUAAAAAAGCACUGUUGUCAACAGGCAUAUGUCAAAAAAGAAGUUAUCUUUGCCAAAACCAAUAUGAAUGCAUUA